rnacentral:rRNA from 1 species
UACGGAGGGUGCGAGCGUUGUCCGGAAUCACUGGGCGUAAAGGGCGCGUAGGCGGCUUUUCACGCGUGCGGUGAAAGCUCGGGGCUUAACUCCGAGUCUGCCGUGCGAACGGGGAGGCUUGAGUCUGGUAGAGGUCGAUGGAAUUCCGGGUGUAGCGGUGGAAUGCGUAGAGAUCCGGAAGAACACCGGUGGCGAAGGCGGUCGACUGGGCCAGUACUGACGCUGAGGCGCGACAGCGUGGGGAGCAAACAGG